CCUACGGGUGGCAGCAGUGGGGAAUAUUGCACAAUGGGGGGAACCCUGAUGCAGCGACGCCGCGUGAGUGAAGAAGUAUUUCGGUAUGUAAAGCUCUAUCAGCAGGGAAGAAAAUGACGGUACCUGACUAAGAAGCCCCGGCUAACUACGUGCCAGCAGCCGCGGUAAUACGUAGGGGGCAAGCGUUAUCCGGAUUUACUGGGUGUAAAGGGAGCGCAGACGGCUGUGCAAGUCUGGAGUGAAAGGCGGGGGCCCAACCCCCGGACUGCUCUGGAAACUGUAAAGCUGGAGUGCAGGAGAGGUAAGCGGAAUUCCUAGUGUAGCGGUGAAAUGCGUAGAUAUUAGGAGGAACACUGAUUGCGAAGGCAGCUUACCAAGCUACUUCUGACGUUGAGGCACGAAAGCGUGGGGAGCAAACAGGAUUAGAUACCCGGGUAGUC
rnacentral:rRNA from 1 species